UACAGAGACUGCAAGCGUUAUUCGGAUUCACUGGGCGUAAAGGGUGCGCAGGCGGUUGGGUGUGUCAGAUGUGAAAUCCCGAGGCUUAACCUCGGAACUGCGUCUGAAACUACUCGACUAGAGUAUUGGAGAGGGUAACGGAAUUCACGGUGUAGCAGUGAAAUGCGUAGAUAUCGUGAGGAACACCAGAGGCGAAGGCGGUUACCUGGACAAUUACUGACGCUCGGGCACGAAAGCAUGGGGAGCAAAAGGG
rnacentral:rRNA from 1 species